rnacentral:rRNA from 1 species
UACAGAGGUCUCAAGCGUUGUUCGGAUUCAUUGGGCGUAAAAGGGGUGCGUAGGCGGCGCGGUAAGUCGGGUGUGAAAUCUCGGAGCUUAACUCCGAAACUGCAUUCGAUACUGCCGUGCUUGAGGACUGGAGAGGAGACUGGAAUUUACGGUGUAGCGGUGAAUGCGUAGAUAUCGUAAGGAAGACCAGUGGCGAAGGCGGGUCUCUGGACAGUUCCUGACGCUGAGGCACGAAGGUCAGGGAGCAAACGGG